rnacentral:rRNA from 1 species
CCACAUAUAAGAGGUAACGCCUGCCCAGUGACCAUGUGUUCAACGGCCGCGGUAUUCUGACCGUGCAAAGGUAGCGUAAUCACUUGUCUUUUAAAUAAAGACUAGUAUGAAUGGCAUCACGAGAGUUCAACUGUCUCCCCCACCCAAUCAGUGAAACUGAUCUCCCCGUGCAGAAGCGGGGAUAAAACCAUAAGACGAGAAGACCCCAUGGAGCUUUAAACUAAAGGCACUAGCUCUUAAUUUACCCCAAGGACAAAACAUCAAACCAGUUAAAGUGACCUGUCGUUUUCGGUUGGGGCGACCACGGAGAAGAACAAAUCCUCCGAGAUGAAAGGGUAAACCCUUAGCCAAGACCCACAAUUCUAAGCAAUAGAACAUCUAACGCACCGAUCCAAUCAAAUUGAUCAACGAACCAAGUUACCCUGGGGAUAACAGCGCAAUCUAUUUUCAGAGUUCAUAUCGACAAAUAGGUUUACGACCUCGAUGUUGGAUCAGGGCCUCCUAGCGGUGCAGCCGCUGCUAAGGGUUCGUUUGUUCAACGAUUAAA